rnacentral:rRNA from 1 species
GUGGGGAAUAUUGGACAAUGGGCGAAAGCCUGAUCCAGCCAUGCCGCGUGAGUGAUGAAGGCCUUAGGGUUGUAAAGCUCUUUCGCCGAGGACGAUAAUGACGGUACUCGGAUAAGAAGCCCCGGCUAACUUCGUGCCAGCAGCCGCGGUAAUACGAAGGGGGCUAGCGUUGUUCGGAAUUACUUGGCGUAAAGCGUAUGUAGGCGGGUCGUUAAGUUAGGGGUGAAAUCCCAAGGCUCAACCUUGGAACUGCCCUUGAUACUGGCGAUCUUGAGUCCGGGAGAGGUGAGUGUAACUGCGAGUGUAGAGGUGAAAUUCGUAGAUAUUCGCAAGAACACCAGUGGCGAAGGCGGCUCACUGGCCCGGUACUGACGCUGAGAUACGAAAGCGUGGGGAGCAAACAGGAUUAGAAACCCCUGUAGUCC